rnacentral:rRNA from 1 species
GAUGAACGCUGGCGGCGUGCCUAAUACAUGCAAGUCGAGCGAACGGACGAGAAGCUUGCUUCUCUGAUGUUAGCGGCGGACGGGUGAGUAACACGUGGAUAACCUACCUAUAAGACUGGGAUAACUUCGGGAAACCGGAGCUAAUACCGGAUGAUAUUUUGAACCGCAUGGUUCAAAAGUGAAAGACGGUCUUGCUGUCACUUAUAGAUGGAUCCGCGCUGCAUUAGCUAGUUGGUAAGGUAACGGCUUACCAAGGCAACGAUGCAUAGCCGACCUGAGAGGUUGAUCGGCCACACUGGAACUGAGACACGGUCCAGACUCCUACGGGAGGCAGCAGUAGGGAAUCUUCCGCAAUGGGCGAAAGCCUGACGGAGCAACGCCGCGUGAGUGAUGAAGGUCUUCGGAUCGUAAAACUCUGUUAUUAGGGAAGAACAUAUGUGUAAGAAACUGUGCACAUCUUGACGGUACCUAAUCAGAAAGCCACGGCUAACUACGUG